GACGAACGCUGGCGGCGUGCUUAACACAUGCAAGUCGAACGAGGUGAGGGAGGAAGCUUGCUUCUGACCUGACCGAGUGGCGGACGGGUGAGUAACGCGUGGGAAACCUGCCUUGUACCGGGGGAUAGCAGUUGGAAACGACUGAUAAUACCGCAUAAGCGCACAGUAUCACAUGAUACAGUGUGAAAAACUCCGGUGGUACAAGAUGGUCCCGCGUCUGAUUAGCUUGUUGGCGGGGUAAAGGCCCACCAAGGCGACGAUCAGUAGCCGACCUGAGAGGGCGACCGGCCACAUUGGGACUGAGACACGGCCCAGACUCCUACGGGAGGCAGCAGUGGGGGAUAUUGCACAAUGGAGGAAACUCUGAUGCAGCGACGCCGCGUGAGUGAAGAAGUAUUUCGGUAUGUAAAGCUCUAUCAGCAGGGAAGAAAAAUGACGGUACCUGACUAAGAAGCCCCGGCAACUACGUG
rnacentral:rRNA from 1 species